rnacentral:ncRNA from 1 species
AGGAUUCAGGAGAGACCUGCCGCGGAUAUUUGGUUUUACGCCAUAAAAGCCGCAGCGGCGCCGAAGGAGACAUUUGCCAAAAAACUCUCAGGCACAGGGACUGGAU